AUAAGGUUAAGUUAAUAAGGGCGCACGGUGGAUGCCUUGGCACUAGGAGCCGAAGAAGGACGUGACAAACGACGAUAUGCCUUGGGUAGCUGUAAGUAAGCGAUGAUCCAGGGAUUUCCGAAUGGGGGAACCCAACAGGUACUACCUGUUACCCGCAUCUGUUAAGGAUGUGAGGAGGAAGACGCAGUGAACUGAAACAUCUAAGUAGCUGCAGGAAGAGAAAGCAAAAGCGAUUGCCUUAGUAGCGGCGAGCGAAACGGCAGGAGGGCAAACCGAAGAGUUUACUCUUCGGGGUUGUAGGACUGUAAUGUGGACUCAAAGAUUAUAGAAGAAUGAUUUGGGAAGAUCAGCCAAAGAGAGUAAUAGCCUCGUAUUUAAAAUAGUCUUU
rnacentral:rRNA from 1 species